rnacentral:SRP_RNA from 1 species
GCUGGGCAUGGUGGUGCAUGCCUGUAAUCCCAGCUACUCAGGAGGCUGAGUCAGGAGAAUCACUUGAACCCAGGAAGCCGAGGUUGCAGUGAGCCGAGAUGGCACCACUGCACUCCAGCCUGGGCGACAGAGAGAGACUCUGUCUCAA